GACGAACGCUGGCGGCGUGCCUAACACAUGCAAGUCGUACGGAGUUCACUUGGAAGCUUGCUUCCGAGUGAACUUAGUGGCGGACGGGUGAGUAACGCGUGAGCAACCUGCCUCACAGAGGGGGAUAACACACGGAAACGUGUGCUAAUACCGCAUAAUCCGAUGAAGCGGCAUCGCUUUAUCGGCAAAGGAGCAAUCCGCUGUGAGAUGGGCUCGCGUCCGAUUAGAUAGUUGGUGAGGUAACGGCUCACCAAGUCUACGAUCGGUAGCCGGACUGAGAGGUUGGACGGCCACAUUGGGACUGAGACACGGCCCAAACUCCUACGGGAGGCAGCAGUGAGGGAUAUUGCACAAUGGGCGAAAGCCUGAUGCAGCGACGCCGCGUGAGGGAUGACGGUCUUCGGAUUGUAAACCUCUGUCCUUGGUGAAGAAGAAAGUGACGGUAGCCAAGGAGGAAGCCACGGCUAACUACGUGCCAGCAGCCCG
rnacentral:rRNA from 1 species